GCUGAAUCAAAGAGCUCUGCUUCCCUGCUCUUACACACAGCGCUGGCUCUGCUGAAUUCAUCACAAAGCAAACCUGUUCCAGUCCCGUACGUUUACUUCUUGUGCGAUCCUGUUCAAACAAAAGGGUGAUGAGAAAGCAAUUCCAGCACUGGAGCCCAAUUGCAGUUUGUGAUUCAACGUGGCAUCAUUCUCUGGCGUUCAUCCAGCAUGAUAACUUGAUAAACCACAUUCUAUUAAAGAAGAUACUAUGGGAAUAAUUCUACCACACACAUCAAGAGCAACAAAAGCUGAAGAAAGCAGAAAGUUCUCCCUCUUGAGAGCAUUGAGCUCCUAAACAAAGGGCAAAUCAUCUUCUGUUCAGUCGCUGGUUGACAGCUAAAUAUUACAUUGCAAAAACCUUGACUGCUGCUAGUAGUUGAGUAAACUUGAGGAAGUGUCAAUUGUCACUUACACAUUAAUUACCACGUUAUUAAAUCCAUCCUGUUUGUAACCUUCUUCAAGGACUAAUUCCUCAUUUGUCCUCUCCCACCACUUUAUAUAUAAACAUGACUUUCAAAGUUACAAUAUGUUCUUAAGAAGAGCAGCAAGCAUCGGUGGCAUUUCAUUACCAGGAGCAAUACAACUGUGGUACAAAAUGAGGGUACUACACACUUCCAAAUUACAAAUACUUGUGAAAAAAAUACAGUUGAGCUUUUUCUUCCUCUUAUCUUUCCAGCUAUCCUGCCUUCCCGAGUGUGCAGUGAACAGUUUUCUUAGCACCUACCAUGUCUUUCAGUUAUCUUUUGGAUUCCCAGCCACUGCUCUUUUAAUGACAUUUUAAGCACUGUCAAUAAGAUCAUAGAAAUACAAGUUAGAAAUGUAAACCUCUUCAAGAUGCCGACCACCUGACUGAUGGCCACAGAAUUUUGCACUGAUUUUUUUUUAAUGUACAUUAGCAUUUCUGAAUACUUUUGCUGUUCCCAAUCCUAUAAGUGAACAUGAACAUCAUGCCAGCAGGAAUCCAUGGGAAAAUUUGAAUGAUGACUGCUCACACUAUACCCACCCAUUACAAAUCUUAUUAUUCAUUUUAGCAAGCUCUACUCCAGGCUAUUACGCCACACCAAUCACCAUGGGAACCUGACAUAUAAGUUCCAGAAAUGCUUCUGCUGUUCAGCUUCCCUCAGAUGUUGUAGUCAUCUGACUGCAGUUUCAAUAUACAAAAGUAAUUUGAAUAGUUAUAUCCAACAGAAUAAAGAAAUCCAGUAAAUGCAAGUAUCUUUAGUGCAGAGACAGUGUAUAGUACUUGAUAAGAAUAAGGAAAGCAUGGAUGAAUACUAUGAGAUUGAGAUCAGGAUGAGUUCAUUCCUUAUAAUGAGAGAAAUCACAGGGAUAACUGCAUGUCUUCUAGCAGAGGUAGAUAUAAGUAAGGGUUUUAUGCAUUGGAUCUGCUUGAUUUUCUCAGAGCAUUAUCCAUUCUAACCACAACAUCCCCAGGAAGGAGGAUUUUAAAGAUAGCAAUGAGUACCUGGUAUUUUGUCUCGUCACCUGUAUUUAAGAACAGUGACUAAGUGAGUUACAAAGAGAAAUUAGAUAGAUCCUGCUACAGGAUGUUUGCUUUUCUGAGACCAAAUACAAGCAUUUCAAAAGUUCUCUUAUAAAAGUUCCUAUUUCUUUU
ensembl:lncRNA